UACAUAUACAUCUCACUAGAAGAAAUGAGAGCUGUGGCUGACUACAUUAGACGUGAAGGUAGGGUGAGUAUCUCACACUUAGCUAGCAAGUCUAAUCAAUUCAUUGAUUUGGAACCAAAAGUUGAGUUAGUUGAGGAUAUAGGCAGCAUCGAGGAGGAGGCAGUUGUUGCUUCAGCUUAAUAAACUUGUUGUAUGACUAAUUUUAAGAAAAA
rnacentral:misc_RNA from 1 species